UACAUAUACAUUGUUGACAAAGCAACACUACCUACUGAACUUCGCUCAGAAUCGUUUUUUCGUUAGCAAAUGGUUAAUUAUUGCGUACAGAUAUAUAUUCAAUUUUACCUCUACUAUCUUCCCAACUUCUUACCUAUAACAGUGGUCAACCCACGUGCGAAGUAUGUCCGUUUUUCUUUUUAUAACUUACAAAUAUUUUAAAAUCAAAAGGAUUGCAUAAUAUUUUUUACAACACAAACUCAAAAAUAGAUCGACUAGCAAAAAUAUCAAUAAAUAAUGAAUGAAAAAUUGUUGGCUGUUAAUGGUAAGAUCUGAACAAAAACCUAUGAGUGAGACUUCAUACAGUCACCUUAUCACAGUUAUUUAUUCAGAUGUUAAACUCACAAAGGGGACAUUGUCCCUUUUUUGCACUAAGCACUAACUUAAGCUGUUUAUAUUUCCAUUACGGUUUGUUGGACUAGUCCCAUUUUUACAUAAAAUAAAUACCUAUUUAAAGCAAACAAAUAUAAAUCCGGUAAUAACUCAAUUUCAUUAGGAAUUGGUCAUGUCCCC